UGAGUAACCUGCCCUUAACUCUGGGAUAAGCCUGGGAAACUGGGUCUAAUACCGGAUAUGACUCCUCAUCGCAUGGUGGGGGGUGGAAAGCUUUUGUGGUUUUGGAUGGACUCGCGGCCUAUCAGCUUGUUGGUGAGGUAAUGGCUCACCAAGGCGACGACGGGUAGCCGGCCUGAGAGGGUGACCGGCCACACUGGGACUGAGACACGGCCCAGACUCCUACGGGAGGCAGCAGUGGGGAAUAUUGCACAAUGGGCGCAAGCCUGAUGCAGCGACGCCGCGUGAGGGAUGACGGCCUUCGGGUUGUAAACCUCUUUCAGUAGGGAAGAAGCGUAAGUGACGGUACCUGCAGAAGAAGCGCCGGCUAACUACGUGCCAGCAGCCGCGGUAAUACGUAGGGCGCAAGCGUUAUCCGGAAUUAUUGGGCGUAAAGAGCUCGUAGGCGGUUUGUCGCGUCUGCCGUGAAAGUCCGGGGCUCAACUCCGGAUCUGCGGUGGGUACGGGCAGACUAGAGUGAUGUAGGGGAGACUGGAAUUCCUGGUGUAGCGGUGAAAUGCGCAGAUAUCAGGAGGAACACCGAUGGCGAAGGCAGGUCUCUGGGCAUUAACUGACGCUGAGGAGCGAAAGCAUGGGGAGCGAACAGGAUUAGAUACCCUGGUAGUCCAUGCCGUAAACGUUGGGCACUAGGUGUGGGGGACAUUCCACGUUUUCCGCGCCGUAGCUAACGCAUUAAGUGCCCCGCCUGGGGGAGUACGGCCGCAAGGCUAAAACUCAAAGGAAUUGACGGGGGCCCGCACAAGCGGCGGAGCAUGCGGAUUAAUUCGAUGCAACGCGAAGAACCUUACCAAGGCUUGACAUGGACCGGAUCGCUGCAGAGAUGUGGUUUCCCCUUUGGGGCCGGUUCACAGGUGGUGCAUGGUUGUCGUCAGCUCGUGUCGUGAGAUGUUGGGUUAAGUCCCGCAACGAGCGCAACCCUCGUUCUAUGUUGCCAGCGCGUGAUGGCGGGGACUCAUAGGAGACUGCCGGGGUCAACUCGGAGGAAGGUGGGGGACGACGUCAAAUCAUCAUGCCCCUUAUGUCUUGGGCUUCACGCAUGCUACAAUGGCCGGUACAAAGGGUUGCGAUACUGUGAGGUGGAGCUAAUCCCAAAAAGCCGGUCUCAGUUCGGAUUGGGGUCUGCAACUCGACCC
rnacentral:rRNA from 1 species